rnacentral:rRNA from 1 species
UACGUAGGUGGCAAGCGUUGUCCGGAUUUACUGGGUGUAAAGGGAGCGUAGGCGGCAGGGCAAGCCUGAUGUGAAAGCCCGGGGCUCAACCCCGGGACUGCAUUGGGAACUGCCCUGCUGGAGUGCCGGAGGGGCAGGCGGAAUUCCUAGUGUAGCGGUGAAAUGCGUAGAUAUUAGGAGGAACACCAGUGGCGAAGGCGGCCUGCUGGACGGUGACUGACGCUGAGGCUCGAAAGCGUGGGGAGCAAACAGG